rnacentral:rRNA from 1 species
UACGUAGGGUGCGAGCGUUAAUCGGAAUUACUGGGCGUAAAGCGUGCGCAGGCGGUGAUGCAAGACCGAUGUGAAAGCCCCGGGCUCAACCUGGGAACUGCAUUGGUGACUGCAUCGCUGGAGUAUGGCAGAGGGGGGUGGAAUUCCACGUGUAGCAGUGAAAUGCGUAGAGAUGUGGAGGAACACCGAUGGCGAAGGCAGCCCCCUGGGCCAAUACUGACGCUCAUGCACGAAAGCGUGGGGAGCAAACAGG